AUUGAACGCUGGCGGCAUGCCUUACACAUGCAAGUCGAACGGCAGCGGGGGAGAAGCUUGCUUUUCCUGCCGGCGAGUGGCGAACGGGUGAGUAAUACAUCGGAACGUGCCCUGUAGUGGGGGAUAACUAGUCGAAAGAUUAGCUAAUACCGCAUACGACCUGAGGGUGAAAGUGGGGGACCGCAAGGCCUCAUGCUAUAGGAGCGGCCGAUGUCUGAUUAGCUAGUUGGUGGGGUAAAGGCCUACCAAGGCGACGAUCAGUAGCUGGUCUGGGAGGACGAUCAGCCACAGUGGGACUGAGGCGCGGCCCAGACUCCUACGGGAGGCAGCGGUGGGGAAUUUUGGACAAUGGGCGAAAGCCUGAUCCAGCAAUGCCGCGUGUGUGAAGAAGGCCUUCGGGUUGUAAAGCACUUUUGUCCGGAAAGAAAUGGCUCUGGUUAAUACCUGGGGUCGAUGACGGUACCGGAAGAAUAAGGACCGGCUAACUACGUGCCAGCCGCCGCCGUAAUAC
rnacentral:rRNA from 1 species